CAAGAACACAAUUAGGAGUCUAUUUCCACUCACCAGCCAUCUUGCCCAGAGGCUUCCUGGACCGGGAGCGAGGAGCUGAGGAGGUUGAUGAUGCCAUAGUGUUGGGCUCAAAACUAACCCCAUGAGACCAGGCAUUGGUCAUCCUAAAUACCCCAGAAAUCAACCUGAAGACUGGCAGAGCAAACUCCACAACUAAAGGGGGAGAAAAGGCCACAAGAAGAAGGUAAGAAGCAUGGAGAUGUGGUUUGGGGUGGGGGGGAAGGGAUCCUGGCUGCUGCAGAAGGGAGGGAGCUGCAGUCACGGAGAACCGUGUGAGAGAGAGAGAAGUUCUAGGAGAUGAGUGUCAGGAGACAAGUUGAACGUUUCCCCAAAGCCAUUGGCUACUGAAGCAAGAGGAGCUGAAUUUCAUGAGAUUUUGCAACCAGCAGGGCUUAAAGGCUGGAGUUGUAAAGGUUGGAGGGCUUGGCUGGGAUAGAGCCGGAGGGCGCUGCCCUGCUCCCAGUGGGCAAGUAAGCAGGAGAGCAAUAGGGAACAGUGAUCUGAAGAGGGCCUGGGGCACACAAGAGAGAUCAUUGCUCUUCUCCUGAGAGGCAGUUCACAGAGAACUUUCCUGGAACAAAGGGGCCAGCCAGCACCAUUUCCCUCCUCCUCCCCCCUCCCCCUUACCUCAGCGUAAACAGGGAACCACUGGGGGAGGCAGCUCAGAGGGACACUGGCUGCCUAACCUGCUUAUGCCUAGCCCCGCUCUCCUGCUCCUCCCUUGCUGUCUGGUGGGACUGCCCCACUCCAGCAAGCAUGACUCAGUCCCAGCACAGGGGGCAGAGGGCCCCUGUCCCAGAAGACCAACACAAACCCUUGCCCACACCACAUCUCCUGACCAGAGAGUUCUGCCGGGCUUCGGCUCUAUUAGAAGUAGUAUCAGGUCUCAUUUAACAAGCAGACCUAGUUAAAACUUACCAUGCUCAGAUCAGGACCAAACACUGCCCACUGCAGGCAAGGAGAGCUUCUGCAGACAACUGGCCUGAAGGACAGAGCAGCCAAAACACAGCAGCAGAGUGCAUGUAGCACGCACCAGAGACCCUCCCUGAAGCCCCAGGCCCUGGGCACUCCAUGACCUCUUCUACACAAGGCCAUUGCUUUCAGGAGCAGCAGACAUAACCUGCUCUUCUAACACAGAGAAGAAGGCAGAGACUUAGACAAAAUGUGAAAAUGGAGGAAUUUAUCCCCAAUGAAAGAACAAAAUAAGGCCAGAGCCAGAAAUCUAAGAAAAACAGGUAUAAGUAACCUGUUUAAUGGGGAAUUUAAAGUAAUGCUCAUAAGAGUGCUUGGUAGACUUGAGGAGAAAAUGGAAAACUUCAAGGAGACCCUUACCACAGAGAGAAGAGAGUUAAAAAAGAAUCAGAUAUUUUAAAAAGUGCAAUAAAUGAGAUUGAAAACACGCUUGAUGCAACGAACGGCAGAAUGGAAGAAGCAAAAGAACAAACUAGUGACCUAGAAGAUAAAGUAGUAGAAAGUAAUCAGCUGAACACAAGAGAGAAAAGGAUUAUGCAAAACAAGAACAGACUUAGGGAUCUCAGUGACUUCAUCAAACAUAAUAACAUUCAUAUAAUAGGGAUCCCAGAGGGAGAAGAGAGAGAAAAGGAAGCAGAAAAUAUAUUUGAAGAAAUAGUAGCUGAAAACUUCCCUCAUCUGGAGCAGGAAACAGAUAUCCAUAUCCAGGAGGCGGAGAGAAUCCCCAACAAAAUCCCCAACAAAAUCAACCAAGGCAUGUUGUAAUUAAACUGGCAAAAUAUAGCAAUAAGGAAAAAAUCUUAAAAGCAGCAAGACAAAAGAAGAUGGUUACUUAUAAGGGAAAACCCAUAAGGCUAGCAGCAGAUUUUUCAGCACAAACUCUGCAAGCCAGAAGGUAUGAUAUACUCAAAGAGCUGAGUGGGAAACAUCUGCAGCCAAGAAUACUCUAUCCAGCAAGGCUAACAUUCAAAAUAGAAGGAGAAGUUUUACAAACAAGAACUUCCUGUGCCAGUGCUGAAAUGGGAGAAGGACAGGUGCUAUUUGGACAAGUAAUUAUGCAUCCAGGUAGGCAGAUGCUGAAGAGCAGAGAAAGAGCACAUGCAAGAAACCCUUGGGAGAUUUUUCUGCCAGUCUGCCUUCCCUUGAAUGACUCCCUCCUUCCACCUAUCCAUCCAAACACCCAUGCCUCCCUCUCUCCCCCCUGCUUCCUCCCUUCCUUCCCCACUCCCUGAGCUAGUGUCGCAUAGUGGUGAAGUCUACAGACUCUGCAGGUAGAGUGCCUGGAUGCUUACCUCUUAUUAACUGUGGCCUUUGGCAAGCUACUUAAUCUUGCUAAGCUUCGGCUUCUCCAUCUGUGAAAUGAAAAUAAAACUAGAACUGCUCAGCUUUA